CAUUUUUCUAGACAGAGCUGUCAUGAAAUGUGACUUGCAAAACUAUGGAAAGUUAAAACAGUCUUUAAAAAACUUCUUUUAGUUAAGAAUCAAGACUCAAAGCUGUACUAUUUCUUAACACCUCUCUUUACCUCUUCUGACUUCCGGUGGACCCUGCCAAGGAUUUAUGAUGCUUAAGAAUGAAUGAGAGAAAAACAAACACCAGGACAAGUGAGAUACAGCGUCUCCAGCCCCUGCCUUAGCUGAGGGCAUUGGGCCAGGUGUCCUCGGGAGAGAUGUCAGUGUGGAGGUUCUGAUUUAAAUCUCUGCAAGGACAGUGCAGUUCUUGGUGCUCUCUGCUGAGGAGCUCUGCUUGCCACUUCUGAGCUUUGCACAGGACAACCCUGCACCUUUCUUCCCUGAGCAGAGUCAGUCUGUCCUCUGGAAUGAAGAAGCUGAUGCCAGUGUGAGUGUUGAUGUCUACAUCAGGCCUUGGCUGAUGCUCAGGAAGUCGAGGAGCAUCAUUCAUCCUUGUCAG
rnacentral:lncRNA from 1 species